GGCAAAGCAGUCCCUGAGCUAGCUCUUCCAGUAUCAGCACAUCAGUAUUCAGGAGUCCAACUGCUGCUGUUUGCAAAUCUGUGUAGAUGAAUGCAGUCCAAAAUGUACAAGUUGGACCUAAAUAUUAAACUCUGUUUACUGUAGAAUUAAAGUUGAGCCUAAAACUACUGAUCAGUCACCUUACUGUAGCACUGGAACUCACUCUUCAGAUGCCGACCCCAUGGGACACACUCCAGGCUCUUCAGAAGUGAUAGCCAAAGCCAUGGGAAGAGGAGAAGCAUGAAAAUGGAAGAGCAAUGUGAAAAGCGAGAGAUAGGGUCUGCUGGCUUGCAGCUCCGGAGGUCAUCUAUAAAGAAAGCUCUUCAGUGCUGCAGAAGGGGAUGAGGAUCCAGCACAUCAGCUGCUGAAACUGUACCUUUUUGUUUCAGGAGAAAGUAAUUUUCUGGGUUUUGAGCCCACUCCCUCCUUCCUGUCACUAACUGUGAGCACAGCGAGGUGCCUGUGGAAGGGAUGCUCACAGCCCCAGCACAGGCAGCUGGAAACAGCCAGUGCCCCUCCUGUCCCACACCAAGAGGGCAGGUACUUCCCCUGGCUUCAAAAAAGGCUAUGGAUGUGGCUCAAAUGUAUUCAGACAUGAAUUUGGUGGAAGGACUGCAAGGGAGGUAAGAAAACAGCAGAGAUGCAAAGGCUCCCUCAUGCCUAGAUUACACUGGCAUGUGUAUCCAGAUAAUUUUUUAGCCUGCUGCAGUCAUUACCACAUUUUGAGGAC